AUGGUGGAGGUGGCGCCGGGCUAUCGUUCCGGGCCGCACGCCGGCAUGGUAAAGAUGGCGCCGGGCAUGCGGGUCGGCAGCUCCGACAUUGUCGUGGUGGUGCAGAUAGCGUCGGGCCGGAUGUCGUCGCCGAGGUGGUGUUGGUGGCUCGCCGUGCUCGGCGUGGGCGCCGCGUGUGGCAGCCCAUAUGAAGACUUCGUCGCACUCGCCGGCGGAGGUUCGUCGUCGUCGCGGACGCCGGCGCAUCAUCUGCGGCCUAGGAGUGCACCGAGACCGAGCGCAUGGUCUGUUGGCACGGGUGUGGUAUUCCAAGGCUCCGUCGGGCUCGCCGGCAGACACAAGAAGACCGGUGCAUCAUCUGCGGCCUACGAGUAUACCGAGGCGGCGCGCAUGGUCCGUCGCCGGGGUGCCGCGGCCUCCGUCGGCGCGUGUAGUCGCUGCCACCAGAUGGGCGCGUCUCCUCUGGGUUCCUCCCCCUCAAGCUGCGUACGCGCAUGA
rnacentral:rRNA from 1 species